AUGCGCAGGCGCAGUGAACGGGCGCCGUUAUAAGGGGGCGGGGCACAAGGGGCGGGGAUCCACGCCGAGGCUCCACCCCUCCUUAGGGCAGGUAUGACCGAGAGCUGGGGCGGGAGCGUUGACCUGUCGGGUAAAGCCAGCCCUACCGCUCGACUCAGUUGCACGCGCAGGGAGUGUGUGUUCACUCUGACUCGGCCCGGCUCCCCGUCCCCGCCGAAGCGCAGAGGCGAAUGAGAGCUGAGUCCUGGGGAGCAGCGCUCCGACUCACGCCCUCAGCAAGCCGAGUGUUUAAAAUACAUUCAGCCACUAGAUGUCGCUGUGGCCCCACCGCGAGGACGCGGAGGGAGGCGCUGCAGAGCACGGGCGACGUGACCACAGCUGUCGGGGCUAACUCUGGAAUGCCGGGUGCUCGGAGGAGCCUCCCCAGCUGGGGCCAAGCAGCGUCCAAGCAGAGGAGGAAACAGAUUCAGAUGGCAAAGGCAGAAAACGGGACGUGCUACUUUACCAGCACAUCACUGGGGGUAGGAGAUGAGGUCAGAGAACUCGCCAGGCCCAGAUCACCCAGCGC
rnacentral:lncRNA from 1 species